GGGCCUAUAGCUCAGCUGGUUAGAGCGCACCCCUGAUAAGGGUGAGGUCGGUGGUUCGACUCCACCUAGGCCCACCA
rnacentral:tRNA from 3 species